UUUUACCCUUCUGGAGGAGAACACGAAUCUUUGGGAACUAGUUCAGGAAGGGAUUCUGCAUCUUCAGAGCUGCUUCUCUUCCUCUUCCCUGUUCUGACUUCAGGAUCUGGACUUACCUCAAUUGCUUUUGCUGCUUGUUCUUUUGUUUCAAAUUCCACAAACGCAAAUCCCUUUGGAUCUCCAGUAGACUUAUAAUGUGGUAUACUUAUAUAAACAACAUUGCCACAUUUCCCAAAUACUCUUUCAAUCCAGCUGUGAUUAACAUUUUUGGGAAGUAACUCCUAUUAUAAAUUAAAAGCAAUAUUAGAGUUUUUCACAAUCAGAAUGUCAAUAAAUUUUUAACUUAAUUAUAAAAAAAAAAAAAAAAAAA
rnacentral:lncRNA from 1 species